AUCCAGCCAUGCCGCGUGUGUGAUGAAGGCCUUAGGGUUGUAAAGCACUUUCGCCGAUGAAGAUAAUGACUGUAGUCGGAGAAGAAGCCCCGGCUAACUUCGUGCCAGCAGCCGCGGUAAUACGAAGGGGGCUAGCGUUGUUCGGAAUUACUGGGCGUAAAGCGUACGUAGGCGGAUUGUUAAGUGAGGGGUGAAAUCCCGAGGCUCAACCUCGGAACUGCCUUUCAUACUGGCAAUCUUGAGUCCGGGAGAGGUGAGUGGAACUCCUAGUGUAGAGGUGAAAUUCGUAGAUAUUAGGAAGAACACCAGUGGCGAAGGCGGCUCACUGGCCCGGAACUGACGCUGAGGUACGAAAGCGUGGGGAGCAAACAGGAUUAGAUACCCUG
rnacentral:rRNA from 1 species